rnacentral:rRNA from 1 species
UACGAAGGGGGCUAGCGUUGCUCGGAAUCACUGGGCGUAAAGCGCACGUAGGCGGGUCGUUAAGUCGGGGGUGAAAUCCUGGAGCUCAACUCCAGAACUGCCUUCGAUACUGGCGAUCUUGAGUCUGGGAGAGGUGAGUGGAACUCCGAGUGUAGAGGUGAAAUUCGUAGAUAUUCGGGAAGAACACCAGUGGCGAAGGCGGGCUCACUGG